rnacentral:misc_RNA from 1 species
GGAAGGAUCAUUAUCGAGCGUACGCUCGUAUAACGAGAGAGAGAGAAUUGGGUUUGCUGGUAGAUUCAUACGGUAGGCGCUUCGCGCAAUCCCGGUCCAGCAAACUAACAGAAUCAGACUAGCCGUAUUGUGAUGGUGUCGUAGUUGGUAUAAGUGAGCUACCAACCUGCUUCAUUUGCGACACCAUUAACGGUACACAGUCUAGUGGUGAUUCUCGCGACCUUGGGUGUAAACGUGGGUACCUAUCUGUGUAUGGCUCGUGGCUCAUAUCCCUGGCUGCGUGACCAAUAGUCAUACCAGUAAACCGCUUUGGCGGGAAGGUUCAAAGAGUUUCAAUGGAGAGGUAUUGGAAUAAUACCACGCUUACUCGUGCACAUGAAUGGUGCAUCAUUGAAACCGCCCACAAACCUUCUUUUUUUAAACUAUUCAAUAUGAAAAAUAGAUUUGGCUUGGCCAUUUCUAUAAAAAACAAUUCUGAGCGGUGGAUCACUUGGCUCGUGGGUCGAUGAAGAACGCAGCUAGCUGCGUGAAUUAAUGUGAAUUGCAGACACAUUGAACAUCGACAUUUCGAACGCACAUUGCGGCAUUGGGCUUUCCCGAUGCUACGCCUGUCUGAGGGUCGCAUUUGUGGCAGCAUAUGGUGUCUUACCCUGUAACGGAUCAUGUUACACUGAUUCUAGACGCCCUAUUGGAUUGCUGACGUUGUGAUUUUUGACGGUUUCCGUCAUGUUCAACGUUACCAGUCUUGAGAAACUAAUAAAGGCCAUUGGAGAGUUGCGAAAGCAAAUGGCCAUUUGUAGAACCAUUCGGUGUGAUCAGACACUGGAGUCUGCUCUCGUUGCGUGAUUAUAUUUGCGAUUAGAGCAAAAAGUAGUGUCAUUGCCGAUUUGGUUUCAAUUUCUCGACCUCAGAUCAGACGUGAGUACCCGCUGAAUUUAAGCAUAUUAUUAGGCGGAGGAAAAGAAACUAACAAGGAUUCCCAUAGUAACGGCGAGUGAACUGGGAAUAGCUCAGCGCUGAAUCUUGCAGUCCGGGACUGUCAAGAAAUGUAGCGUUUGGGUAACCUUUUCUGGUAUUGUCAAGCUUUCUGAGUCCCCUUGAACGGGGCCACUGCCCAUAGCGGGUGCAAGGCCCAUGCGAAAGUAGACUCUACCAGUAUAAGGUAUACCUUAGAGUCGGGUUGCUUGAGAGUGCAGCCCAAAUGCGUGGUAAACUCCAUGCAAAGCUAAAUAUAACCACGAGACCGAUAGCAAACAAGUACCGUGAGGGAAAGUUGCAAAGAACUUUGAAGAGAGAGUUAAAAGGGCGUGAAACCGCUUGGAAGUAAACGGGUGGAGCUGCAAUGCAGUCUACAGGAUUCAAUUUGUCGGUGGUACAUCGAGUGGCAAACGAUCGCAAGACGUGAACCGUUCGCAUGUGCUUAUCGGUGAAUGUAUUUUCUGUAGACGAGCGUCACGACCGAUUGACCUGCUAACAGAAAGGUGGAAUGAUUGCAGACUGAUGCCUUCGGGUGUCAGUGACUCGUCAACCACUCUGUUUGAGUCAGGACGAUCGAGAAUAGACCGCGUCGGCUCGUCGCAUGUGUAUUGUGCAUAUGGACUGAAUUCUAACUUGUAAUUCAUGCUUGCAUGAUUUGCAGACCCUCAGUUCAGACUGCCUUUACAUUAUGCAUUGACGCAUAUGGUCUGUGGCGUCUGUGUCAGUUACCCACCCGACCCGUCUUGAAACACGGACCAAGGAGUCUAACAUGUGCGCAAGUCAUUGGGUUUAAAACCCAAAGGCGUAAUGAAAGUGAAGCAUAGUGGGAUUCCUUGUCUUCGGACUUGGACGCACCACUGUCCCGUCUGAUCUGCAUGUCAGAUAGGCGGAGAAUGAGCGUACACGUUGGGACCCGAAAGAUGGUGAACUAUGCCUGAGCAGGAUGAAGCCAGAGGAAACUCUGGUGGAAGUCCGUAGCGGUUCUGACGUGCAAAUCGAUCGUCAGACUUGGGUAUAGGGGCGAAAGACUAAUCGAACCAUCUAGUAGCUGGUUCCCUC